rnacentral:rRNA from 1 species
AUUGAACGCUGGCGGCAGGCCUAACACAUGCAAGUCGAGCGGAAACGAUCCUAGCUUGCUGGGAGGCGUCGAGCGGCGGACGGGUGAGUAACGCGUGAGAAUCUACCCAUGAGUGGGGGACAACCCGGGGAAACUCGGGCUAAUACCGCAUACGCCCUACGGGGUAAAGCAGGGGACCUUCGGGCCUUGCGCUGAUGGAUGAGCUCGCGUCGGAUUAGCUUGUUGGUGAGGUAAAGGCUCACCAAGGCGACGAUCCGUAGCUGGUCUGAGAGGAUGAUCAGCCACACCGGGACUGAGACACGGCCCGGACUCCUACGGGAGGCAGCAGUGGGGAAUCUUGGACAAUGGGGGCAACCCUGAUCCAGCCAUGCCGCGUGUGUGAAGAAGGCCUUCGGGUUGUAAAGCACUUUCAGCAGGGAGGAAGGCUUACCCCUAAUACGGGUGAGUACUUGACGUUACCUGCAGAAGAAGCACCGGCUAAUUUCGUG